UAGCUCAACUGGUAGAGCAUGGCAUUACAGUUGCCAGGGGUAUGGGUUCGAUUCCUACUGGGACCA